rnacentral:lncRNA from 1 species
CCCAAGUCUCCUGGAAGAUAAGAUUUAGUUACCCAUUAGGAUCCCAAGGAAUAUGGCCUCCUAACCACUAUUACUGAGGAGCACCCUAACCCUCAGGUUGCAACACUACUACCAACCCCAUCCCUACAAUAGGACACUUCAUUCCAUACAAUAGAAUAAGUGUUCUGAAGAACCAAGCAGAGGUUGAUGGCAC